GCCCCUAUAGCUCAGUUGGUAGAGCUACGGACUUUUAAUCCGCAGGUCCCAGGUUCGAGUCCUGGUGGGGGCACC
rnacentral:tRNA from 10 species